UAUGAGCCCUGAUAGAAGCGGUAUCCUUUUAUGAAGCGAUUUUUCUUCGCUUCAUAAAAGAUACAAGCGAAUAGCAGGAAUAGCU
rnacentral:snRNA from 1 species